GGGAUCGAAAGACCUUAUGCUUUUGGAGCGGCCGAUGUCUGAUUAGCUAGUUGGUGGGGUAAUGGCCUACCAAGGCGACGAUCAGUAGCUGGUCUGAGAGGAUGGCCAGCCACACUGGGACUGAGACACGGCCCAGACUCCUACGGGAGGCAGCAGUGGGGAAUUUUGGACAAUGGGCGCAAGCCUGAUCCAGCAAUGCCGCGUGAGUGAAGAAGGCCUUCGGGUUGUAAAGCUCUUUCAGUUGAGAAGAAAAGAACGUGAAUAAUACGCGCGUUUUAUGACGGUAUCAACAGAAGAAGCACCGGCUAACUACGUGCCAGCAGCCGCGGUAAUACGUAGGGUGCGAGCGUUAAUCGGAAUUACUGGGCGUAAAGGGUGCGCAGGCGGUUCUGAAAGUCAGAUGUGAAAUCCCUGGGCUUAACCUAGGAAUUGCGUUUGAAA
rnacentral:rRNA from 1 species